GACGAACGCUGGCGGCGUGCUUAACACAUGCAAGUCGAACGGAAAGGCCCUGCUUUUGUGGGGUGCUCGAGUGGCGAACGGGUGAGUAACACGUGAGUAACCUGCCCUUGACUUUGGGAUAACUUCAGGAAACUGGGGCUAAUACCGGAUAGGAGCUCCUGCUGCAUGGUGGGGGUUGGAAAGUUUCGGCGGUUGGGGAUGGACUCGCGGCUUAUCAGCUUGUUGGUGGGGUAGUGGCUUACCAAGGCUUUGACGGGUAGCCGGCCUGAGAGGGUGACCGGCCACAUUGGGACUGCGAGAGGGACCAGACUCCUACGGGAGGCAGCAGGGGGGAAUAUUGCACAAUGGGCGGACGCCUGAUGCAGCAACGCCGCGUGCGGGAUGACGGCCUUCGGGUUGUAAACCGCUUUCGCCUGUGACGAAGCGUGAGUGACGGUAAUGGGUAAAGAAGCACCGGCUAACUACGUG
rnacentral:rRNA from 1 species